UAGAUUUCACUAUUUUCAGCAUGACACUUUAUGCCGUGAACCGUUUCAAUCUGAGCAUGCGCGACUCAAAUCUGCACUCGACUCACAUCGGGGAGGGACACCGUGAACAGAAACUA